GAGCGCAACACAUAGCCAGCUUGUCUGGCACUGAACCUACCUGCGGGUAUUUCAGGUAACGG
rnacentral:ncRNA from 1 species